GCAGCUCGUGUGUGUGUGUGUGUGUGUGUGUGUGUGUGUGUGUGUGUGUGUGUGAGUGUGAGUGUGCAGCUCCUGGAUCCCCGUCUGUUGUCUCGUGUGUGUGUGUGUGUGUGUGUGUGCAGCUCCUGGAUCCCCCGUCUGCUGUCUCUCUUCUGUGUGUGUGUGUGUGUGUUUGUGUGUGUGUGUGUGUGCGUGCAGCUACUGGAUCCCCCGUCUGUCGUCUCUCUUCUGUGUGUGUGUGUGUGUGUGUGAGCAGCUCCUGGAUUCCCCGUCUGUUGUCUCUCUUCUGAGUUUGAGAGUGUGUGUGUGUGUGUGUGUGUGUGUGUGUGUGUGUGUGUGCAGCUCCUGGAUUCCCCGUCUGUUGUCUCUCUUCUGUGUGUGUGUGUGUGUUUGUGUGUGUGUGUGAGCAGCUCCUGGAUUCCCCGUCUGUUGUCUCUCUUCUGUGUUUGAGAGUGUGUGUGUGUGCAGCUCCUGGAUUCCCCGUCUGUUGUCUCUCUUCUGUGUGUGUGUGUGUGUGUGUGUGUGUGUCUCCUGGAUUCCCCGUCUGUUGUCUCUCUUCUGUGUUUCUGCGUGUGUGUGUGUGUGUGUGUGUGUGUGUGUGUGUGUGUGUGUGUGUGUGUGUGUGUGCGUGUGUGUGUGUGUGUGUGUGUGUGUUGGUGUUCAGUGUUUACUCAUGCCACAAUCCAUCUCUGUUUCAGAUCGAAGUCCUGGAUUGCCCUUAACCCUGAAACAGCAGGAAAAAGAGAGAGAAGGAGAGACGGUGACAGUGUGUGCUUGUGUAUGUAUGGUGUGUGUGUGUGUGUAUGGUGUGUGUGUGUGUAUGUGUGUAUGGUGUGUGUGUGAGAGACACUCUCCAAGUGAUGCUGUAGCAGCACAGAAUGGUUUGUGGUUAUGCUGAGAUGCAGGCCGUACUGUGCUGCAGCAGUAAUGCUUAGGAACCCAACAAAAGUAUGUGUUCAUUUCUGUACUGUCAAAGUACAACUGAAUACUGCUCCACAGCUUUAAUGUGUGUGUGUGUGUGUACGUGUGUGUGUGUACGUGUGUGUGUGUGUGUGUACGUGUGUGUGUGUGUGUGUACGUGUGCGUGUGUGUGUGUGUCUGGCUGCUUCGCUGUAGCAGCACGUAAAUAUUGGAGUUACUCAACGGCUGAAGCCUCCAAUAUUGAUUGUGCUGCUGAAGCAAGGUGGACCGUAUCCCACGGCAACUCUGUCACCAAGUCCCGAUGAGUACCAGGAAGGGGCCCCUCACAGGGAUCCAUCUUCACCAUCACACCUGUGCACAGGUCCAGAGGAAAAGGGAUCCAUCUUCACCACCACACCUGUGCACAGGUCCAGAAGAAAAAGCUGAUGAUAAAAUACGCAAGACAACUUUUGAUACUGUGUGUGUGUGUGUGUGUGUGUGUGUGUGAAGUGAGAGUAUGUGAAACAGACAGAGGUGAAAGUGCACAAGGGGAAGGGUGUAAGUAUGGCAGGGCUAAAGGGUAAGGUGUGUGUGUGUGUGAUGAGUGUGUGUGUAUAUAUAUAUAUAUUCAACUAUUCAACAUAUAUAUAUAAUUAUAAUAUAUAUAAAUAUAAUAUUAUUGAUUACAUUUUUUUAAUAAUAUGAUGUUCCUGGGUAAGUUAUAAAGAGCAUGGUGAGUUAGUGCAAGUCUAACAUGUUCAUGCUUGAAGUGUAGAGUUAAGGAGUGCUGGAACUGUGUAAAAAAUGGUUGUAUGCACCCGUUUGCUUCUAUCUGAUUUCAAUGACUUUAUUUUAUAUUUCUAAUGUUUUCAUGCAGGCUAUUUUGCCCGAAUUAUUAAUUCUGAAUCAGUUAUUCAAUUUGCUUGUAUUCUAAAAAUCAAAUAAAACCUUUGUGAUGAAAAGUUGAAUCCUGUCUCACUGUUACUUUUUUUUUUUCAUUAUUAUUAAGCACACAUGCCUUCUUAUAUUAUUUCAGUUAGUGCUGCCGUCCUGGGUUUAAAUCUCAUAAUCUGCCUCACAACCCCCGCCGAGACCUGUGGCCUCGGGAGUGUGUGGAGCGGAGCAGGUGCUGUCUGCGAGAGGGAGUCCUGUUACCCGAGACGGUCCACUCCCGUAGUGAUGAACUAUGCAGCCUUUAAAAGUGUCAAAGUUGGUUGUGAUCCUGAUGCCAAAUUGGACCUUUUUUUUUUCUUUUUUUUUAACAGGGAAUUGGUUGUCAUUCUAAUGCCAUUUUUUUUUUAUUGGAAAUGGUGCGUGACGCUUCCACUACUUUUCCACCAGGUUUGAAUUUACCAAAAAUUAGACAUUUAAUCUCACACAAAAAAGUGCUACUGUCGCAGUGUAAGGGUACGUUUUUUGGCGCCUUGUAUUCAUGGUCACUGAUGCAAACGAGAGAUCUGGAGAUAUAUUCCAGGUCAGCAUUGUUAAAUUGGGACAGAAACGCUGACCGGAACUACGACCGACAUCACGCUGGAGAGAUCCACUACUCUCGGUGUGUAACGUAGCGUUUGCAAUCACUCGAAAGCUUUUUCACUGCAGUCUUUGCUUCGCAUGCUGUUACCCGUCUCCGGGCGCAACUAUAAGCCUGUGGUUAUCCAUGGACGCGUGCCCUAACAUUUUCACACCCUCAAACUAUGCAUUGGUGUCACCGUGAAGGUAAAUAACGCGCACUGCGUCUGGAGCGCAAAGCACUGACGUGCGUGAGUUAUCUACAUGUGGGCCAAUGCGAUUGAUGACGUGUAUGAAUAAAAUAAGAGCAUCUAAAGUUUGCGCUUGUUCUUAUUGUGAUUUGCUGCGCGGAACGCACAUUUGCGCAUUUUCCUGAUCUGAAUGUAGACAUCAGUAAUGUUAAGUAGGCCAUGAUAUUUAUCACAAAACAACUGUAAACCUACGACAUAGUAAAACUUGUUCGGAUGUUUUCAUGCGCUACUGUAGCCCAGACUAUAUGGUUCCGUCUCUCUUCACGCCGUAGCGGAGCCGGCCAGGGAUGCGACCCUGCAUGUCUCGCUGUCACACCCGCAGGGUUGUCCACUUUUAUCCGCAAAAAGAGAAGGUAUAAGGCCAGUGCAGAAAGAUGGGAAAAAAAAUCAAAUUACCGGUAAAAAGAGUGCACCCGCACCUGUAUGUGACUGAGAGAUAGAAAUAACAUAUUAUUCAUUCUGGAUUUCCCAAUGAAUAUCGUGCUUUUAUGGGUGGCACUUUGCGAGUAGGUUUUUGUCUAUUGCGACAUAUAGGAUGGUACAGACUUUUAAACGCUUUAGCCUCUUGGCGCCCUUGAAUGACAUCUCGUCACCGACGGUGUCCCUGCAAUGCACAAAAGGUGUUUUAUGGUAGACCUAUUAUUUCAAGCAUAUUUGGGGAUGUAGCCUACUUUAUUUUUUUGUAAUUUGACUUUAUGCACUUUCAUAUGUUUUCACAGUGCUGAGUAGAGACUAAAUAUCGUGUGUGUGUGUGUGUGUGUGUGUGUGUGUGUGUGAGGAGUGCAUGCGCCCGCACCUGUAUGUGACGGAGAGACAUAAAUAACAUAUUAUUAAUUCUGGAUUUCCCAAUGAAUAUCGUGCUUUUAUGCAUUGGUGGCAUUUUGCGAGUAGGUUUUUGUCUAUUGCGACAUAUAGGAUGGUCUUCAUAAAAUUAACAAGAUUUGUUCUUUUAGUCAUUCUUCAGGUUGCCAGUCAUCGGCAUUUUACUAAUGAAAUAUCAAAAAUUAUGAAUUUUAAACAUUUUGUUAUUUUAUGAACUUCAAUAAAAUAAACAGAAUUUCCACCUUUGCAAUGCAGCCUGACCCGGCGAGAUUAUUUUGGAUUUAAAGUUUGCGGUCAAAAAUCGUCAGCAUGGGCUUUUCUCUUCCAUGUAAUUAUCUGGGGUUUUUUAAUCGAUUUGGUAAUAUGUUUACAUAUAAAAAAUAUAUAAAAUGAAACGAAUUCUUUACAUUUACACCACCUCGUAUUCAUUUUGCAAUUAUCAAUUCAACAGAAGCUGUUCAAAAUAAUGGCAAGGGAGCCUGGUGAUUGUGGGACGGUCUAAAUAAUAUUCUAAAUAUCGCUCAAAUUUGUUCUUUCAUUAAGAUGUAAGAAAAUGGCUUGAUAUCGUUGGAUCAAAGAGGUUUGCGUAUACGACAGAGGAUAGCGCACCUUCCGGAACUGAGUCAGGUGAGAAACAAUAUGAUAACGGAAAACUCAUAAGGGUUUACAAUAAAAUAAAAAUAAACUGAAUUAAAUAAUGUAGAAAGGAGACAAAGGGUGGCAAUUAUAUAAGACAACAACUAGAUGUAUUGGCACUUAAACUGUCAAUUGAUGUUGCGGGGUAAAUAUAAGUUCUUAUACGUCUUAUUGUGUAAAAGCAUAUAAAAUGUAUGCUUUUAAAUGUGCAGUUUAUCCAAACACAAAACAUAAUGUAGGUAUAACUUGUCAAUGCAUUGGAAAGGGGUCAUAUUCGAGAAAACACCUCUCGCUCCUCUUCACUGCAGUCAAGGCACAUCAAAUGGCAAAGAUGAUCACAUGUCUUCAUUAACUUAGUUUUAUUCGAUGUAUUUAAAAUUAUAUAACCACUAUUAUAUAAAUAGGUUGUGUUCAAUGGGGGAAACGAGUCAACUCAUUUUUCUUUGAUCCAGAGUUUGCCCGGUAACAGGCGGCUAUAUAUAUACGUGCAGUGACGUGUGCAGGGAGCCACGGUCAGUCGUGAUGACACGUGCUCAUUUUCUGAAGUGAUCCUGGGAUUUUCUGUCAGUGUUUCGUUUGUGAAAAUAACAAGACAUAGGAGCUAAUUUAGAAAAUGGAGCAGUGUUUUAGCGUCGCCUCACUGGGCCGCACGGACCCUCAUUUGGCAACGUAUAGGCUCCGUUUCUAUACCUUCGCUGUUCGCCAAGUCAACAGAACAGUGCUGAACGGGCACCAUGAAAUUGAGGUGACGGGUGUUUAUAAAGACAUUACAGGGGGGUGUAGUGGAACUUUACGGUGAAAGGAGCAAGGGCUUCCCCAGGCUGGCAUCACUGCAGCCCGGGUGGGAAGGUGGUGAUGGUGUGUGUGUCUGUGUGUGUGUGUGUGUGUGUGUGUGUGUGUGUGUGUGAGAGAGAGGGACGUGCGGGGGUGGAUUUGGGAGCUACGCUUCCCUACGAACAGGCAGAGGCCCAGGGUUCAGCCUCUGCCUGAAGUCUUCAUCUUCAUCAUCACUCUUGUGUCUGUACUGCAGGAUUGAGACAGCACUUCAAAGGCAGGCAGGCAGCCACACACACACACACACACACACACACACACACACACACGCAAUUCCUGCAGGUCUUCACAAGGGAGAAAAAUAUAAAAACAGUCGUAACACCUUCAUCCCUGAACGAUAAAUUACAAAAUGUUGCCAGGCAUGUUUCAGAAUAUAAUACUAUUAAGUAGGGGAAAUUG
ensembl:lncRNA